rnacentral:rRNA from 1 species
UACGUAGGGACCAAGCGUUGUUCGGAUUUACUGGGCGUAAAGGGUGCGUAGGCGGCGCGUCAAGUCAGUUGUGAAAUCUUAAGGCUUAACCUUAAGCGGUCAACUGAUACUGUCGUGCUAGAGUGCAGAAGGGGCAAUCGGAAUUCUUGGUGUAGCGGUGAAACGCGUAGAUAUCAAGAGGAACACCUGAGGUGAAGACGGGUUGCUGGGCUGACACUGACGCUGAGGCACGAAAGCUAGGGUAGCAAACGGG